rnacentral:rRNA from 1 species
AGGUGGUGCAUGGUUGUCGUCAGCUCGUGUCGUGAGAUGUUGGGUUAAGUCCCGCACGAGCGCAACCCUCGACCUUAGUUGCCAGCAUUCAGUUUGGGCACUCUAAGGUGACUGCCGGCUAAAAGUCGGAGGAAGUGGGAUGACGUCAAAUCAUCAUGCCCCUUAUGACCUGGGCUACACACGUGCUACAAUGGCCGGUACAGACGGACGCAAAGCCGCGAGGUGGAGCAAAUCCUAAAAAGCCGGUCUCAGUUCGGAUUGCAGGCUGCAAUUCGCCUGCAUGAAGUCGGAAUCGCUAGUAACCGCAGGUCAGCAUACUGCGGUGAAUACGUUCCCGGGCCUU